rnacentral:lncRNA from 1 species
CAAUAUGUAUUCUUCAAAUUUCUUAUAGUGAUGUCAUUGGAGGAUGUCCAAGCAGGAGAUUUGGCCGAAGAUGUGCAUAUGGUUUGGGAUAGACGGAGCGGAAGGAUAGGGUCUCAGUCCAUGAGCGAUGGUUUACCUGAACUAAUUGUUUGCUGGUGGGUUAAUUAUUUGGGAGAUCAGGAAUGGUAUAAUCUUUAGGAGGAAUCAGACUGAUCAAAUCCGUGGUUGCUAUAAGGUUAAACAGCUGAUGUCCCUGUGGGAAAAACUUCGUCCUAUGAAGAGACACUGAUUUUUUUAUUUUUAUUUUUAUUUUUAUUUUUUUAUUUAUUUUUUUUAUUUUUGUUCGGCUUUUCAUCUCUUUAGAGGUCUUGUUGCUUCAUCCAUAUAGUUAAGUUUAUAUCCUGAAUGAAUGAAGCGGGUAGCAUGCUACCUUUUUCUAAAAAAAAAUAAUAAUCUAAAGUCACUAAUACAUUAUUCUUCUUC